AAUGAGUUGUUUAUCUUAGGAGAGGGAGACUCAUGGCUCUGAGUUGAGAACUGAUGAGAAGCCCAGCUCCAAACUAUCUCACACUGAGGUAAAACAACAAUUUGCUUUGAUUUGAGAGAGCAGCCUGUGAUCCCCCUAGAACUGAUCUCCUCUUGUUGUCAAUAACUUGACUCUGAGUGACAGCUGAGUGAGUACCCAGUGGGAUCUCAAGGGGCAGACACAGGGCCCCUCAAAAGCAAAAUGCCACUGAUAAGGUAGCUGCUUCACCAAAAUAAGUGCUGGUGCUUAAUGCUCCUAUCCAGGAUGAAAGGAGUGAAUAGCAAGCUGUUGUUUCAGCCUUCCUGGCAGCUCGAUUUCUUCUCAGAGGAAUAAUGAAGUGGUAGAACCCUUACCUAUGUAGGUGAUCCUUUCCAAAGCCUCUCUAUUCUUCCUGUUAAGUUCUUCCUCUGUCCCCAUUGCUGUAGUUUGACCUUCCCACUGUGGAGGUAGGCCUGGAUUCAUCCUGCCUAGGCAUUUAACUUAGGGUUUCACAUCAUCAUGAAUUGUGCUGAGAGUGUAGGUGAUGGUUGUCUCUCCAUCUCUUCUUGUAGAAUGAACUAGGAACCAGGUUCAAAGCUAACACAAAGGAUGUGUUCUUCAUGCCAGAUGGAGCUCCUUGCUAAAGAAUAUUGAGGACUUUGUAUAGUUUGUGUAGGUUUAAGGCAAAAUUGCACAAGUAUCUGGAAGACAGAUUCCCUGAAUAUUAAACAGAUGAACAAGCCCUGUCAGGCUCAGGAAACUACCUGAACUGAAAGUAGCUGGAGGCUGAGAAUAUUAAGGAGAAAUUAUAUAUGCUUGCCUCACUACCUAUGCAUCUGUGCCAGCUGCUGUAGAAGAGAGGAUACUUGGGCUGGGUGCAGCCCUGGCACAAAGUGAAAUGGCUGCUGGUGUCUGUGUGCAGUGUCUGUAGGACACUAAGGCAUUGCUCUCUUUGUCCCUAGGUAGAGCAGGAGCUUUCAGGCAGCAGUGCAUUUCUCAGGAAAUACUCUGAGAAGCGCUCUGGAGGCGUGUGCUCGUACCUGCAUCGCGUGUGCCGGGCAGCGCUGCCGCUGCAGCUGCUGCUCCUGCUGCUCCUGCUCCUGGCCUUCCUCCUGCCCCUGGCAGAAGAGACCCACAGCUGCACGCUGGCCAACAACUUCGCUCGCUCCUUCAAGCUGAUGCUGAGAUACGAGGGCCCACCUCCAACAUAAGCUCUUGGCAUGGCACGAGGUGACGGGCAGAAGUGCAGGCUCCUUGUUUUUAAUUGCAACUGUUGUAGAUUUUAGGGUUUUUAACAUGGCCAUCAUGCCAACUGGAUAGAUCACAUAACUGCAACAUAUGAUUAACCCAUUUUAAUCAGGUAUUUGAGCAAAAUUAAUAUUUUUACAAAUUUUUUAUUGUUGUAUUUAUAAUAUGUAUAUAGAGAUUGUGUAUGUGUAUGUAU
rnacentral:lncRNA from 1 species